UACGUAGGGGGCAAGCGUUGUCCGGAUUUACUGGGCGUAAAGCGCGUGUAGGCGGCCACGCAGGUCCGUUGUGAAAACUGGAGGAUUAACCUCCAGACGUCGACGGAAACCGUGUGGCUAGAGUCCGGAAGAGGAGAGUGGAAUUCCUGGUGUAGCGGUGAAAUGCGCAGAUAUCAGGAAGAACACCAAUGGCGAAGGCAGCUCUCUGGGACGGUACUGACGCUGAGACGCGAAAGCGUGGGGAGCGAACACG
rnacentral:rRNA from 1 species